rnacentral:lncRNA from 13 species
UAACUCCUGAGCUCAAGCAAUCCUCCUGCCUCAGCCUCCUGAGUAGCUGAGAUUAUAGGUGUUGAGCAGAUGGGCAGGCUGCCACGCUAGAACCUGGCCGUGCUUCCAGGUCCUACUUUCAGAAAAUAUAAAGAAAGCAAGGAAGGCAUGAGGAACAAAUGGAAAGGUAAGAUAUGGAAGUCAAGUUUGCUUUAGAUUAAUUGGGAUAGGAGAGAUUUUUUU